GCAGCCUGCAACUCGGCUGCAUGAAGCUGGAAUCGCUAGUAAUCGCGGAUCAGAAUGCCGCGGUGAAUACGUUCCCGGGUCUUGUACACACCGCCCGUCACACCAUGGGAGCCUGAUAUGCCCGAAGUCAGUGACCCAACCUACGGGAGGGAGCAGCCGAAGGCAGGUCGGAUGACUGGGGUGAAGUCGUAACAAGGUAAC
rnacentral:rRNA from 1 species